rnacentral:lncRNA from 1 species
CUCAAGUCAGUUCUCUGCCUCAACAAUAAUAGAGUGCUCGAACAAAAAUUUUAGCAGAAUUUUGAGAUAGAAAUUAGAGCUUAAAAAAUAACAUAUUUGGGGUCUCCUUUUUGUAGGCGGAGGGUGCAAUAGACUGAUAGCGACGUUUGUAACCAUCUGGUAGUGGGCUAUUCGGAGCCAAGAAGAGUUUGUUAUGGAG